CCUACGGGUGGCAGCAGUGAGGAAUAUUGGUCAAUGGGCGAGAGCCUGAACCAGCCAAGUCGCGUGAGGGAGUACUGCCCUAUGGGUUGUAAACCUCUUUUGUCGGGGAGCAAAAGCCGGACGUGUCCGGCUGUGAGAGUACCCGAAGAAAAAGCAUCGGCUAACUCCGUUCCAGCAGCCGCGGUAAUACGGAGGAUGCGCGCGUUAUCCGGAUUUAUUGGGUUUAAAGGGUGCGCAGGCGGAUUUUUAAGUCAGCGGUCAAAUCGUGGGGCUCAACCCCAUCCAGCCGUUGAAACUGGGGAUCUAGAGUGUGCGAGAGGUAUGCGGAAUGCGUGGUGUAGCGGUGAAAUGCAUAGAUAUCACGCAGAACCCCGAUUGCGAAGGCAGCUUGCUAGGCCGGAUCUGACACUGAUGCACGAAAGCGUGGGGAUCGAACAGGAUUAGAUACCCCUGUAGUC
rnacentral:rRNA from 1 species